rnacentral:rRNA from 1 species
UACGUAGGGUGCAAGCGUUGUCCGGAAUUAUUGGGCGUAAAGAGCGUGUAGGCGGCCAGGUAGGUCUGCUGUGAAAACUCGAGGCUCAACCUCGAGAUGUCGGCGGAAACCAUCUGGCUAGAGUCCGGAAGAGGAAAGUGGAAUUCCUGGUGUAGCGGUGAAAUGCGCAGAUAUCAGGAAGAACACCCGUGGCGAAGGCGGCUUUCUGGGACGGUACUGACGCUGAGACGCGAAAGCGUGGGGAGCGAACAGG